AUUGAACGCUGGCGGCAUGCUUUACACAUGCAAGUCGAACGGCAGCGCGGGCUUCGGCCUGGCGGCGAGUGGCGAACGGGUGAGUAAUACAUCGGAACGUGCCCAGUAGUGGGGGAUAGCUCGGCGAAAGCCGGAUUAAUACCGCAUACGACCUGAGGGUGAAAGCGGGGGAUCUUCGGACCUCGCGCUAUUGGAGCGGCCGAUGGCAGAUUAGCUAGUUGGUGGGGUAAAGGCCUACCAAGGCGACGAUCUGUAGCUGGUCUGAGAGGACGACCAGCCAAAAUGGGACUGAGACACGGCCCAGACUCCUACGGGAGGCAGCAGUGGGGAAUUUUGGACAAUGGGCGAAAGCCUGAUCCAGCAAUGCCGCGUGUGUGAUGAAGGCCUUCGGGUUGUAAAGCACUUUUGGCGGGAACGAAAAGGACUGUGCCAAUACCACGGUUCGAUGACGGUACCCGCAGAAUAAGCACCGGCUAACUACGUG
rnacentral:rRNA from 1 species